rnacentral:rRNA from 1 species
UAGGGAAUCUUCCGCAAUGGGCGAAAGCCUGACGGAGCGACGCCGCGUGAGCGAGGAAGGCCUUCGGGUCGUAAAGCUCUGUUGUCAGGGAAGAAGGCGCGCCGUUCGAACAGGGCGGCGCGGUGACGGUACCUGACGAGGAAGCCCCGGCUAACUACGUGCCAGCAGCCGCGGUAAAACGUAGGGGGCGAGCGUAGUCCGGAAUUACUGGGCGUAAAGGGCGUGUAGGCGGCCUGUUAAGUCAGGGGUGAAAGACCGGGGCUCAACCCCGGGGGUGCCUCUGAAACUGGCGGGCUUGAGUGCUCUAGAGGGCAGUGGAAUUCCCGGUGUAGCAGUGAAAUGCGUAGAGAUCGGGAGGAACACCAGUGGCGAAGGCGGCUGCCUGGGGAGUCACUGACGCUGAGGCGCGAAAGCUAGGGGAGCAAACAGG